rnacentral:lncRNA from 1 species
UAGUAACGACUUUUAACUAGUAUUUUAGACUUUAGUUCGUACAAUAUAUACACGGGAAAAACAUUUGUUAUAAUAUGCUUAGCUAAUAUAAUUGUUUCUUGUCUUUGUGUUGUUUGUUGUUUUUAAAAAUCACACAGCUCAGUUUCUCUCCAGAUGAUACUUUACCAGAAAAAGAAGCUGUGGUCAUAGAGAACAAGGCACUCUCAGAGGCAGUGUUGGAGACGAUGAUUGGCGAGCACGCUGUUUCCCCUGAUUUGAAGCGUUGUUUGGCUGAAAGGUUGCCUGCUGUGCUGAACCAAGGUCUUCUCCUCAGUGGAAACUGAUGGAUCGGAAGGUUGAAAGUGCUGGCUGCUGCUACAAAAGAUUAACAAAUCCGAGCUUGUGUGUCAGUGUGUGAUCUUUUACCUUCCUAUCAAUAAAGUGAUCUAAGUGUUAUUGUUUUAUCGAUCACUCUUAUAUGAAAUGAAAACAGUGUUUUGUUUGUUCAAAACGAGGGCAAAAUAAUCACAAAAAUGAGGCCACUAAUAAGAUGAUAGAUAAACAUUAUUACCAAAUGUUAUUAAACUUGGAUUGUUCAUCGAUUCCUUAAGGAUACUAUGUUGGAUUGAACCGGUUAGAUGUAUAUAUAUAUAUAUAAAAUUAAGAAAUUAUAAUAGACGAUAAAUAAAAAUGACCAAUAUUAUUAAAUUUGAAAGGGUAAUCGACUCGGUCAUUGUAAAUUUAUACUAGACUAAAGGUAAAAAAAUAAAAAUAUUCAUAAUACACUUGCUCUCCCCAAACUGCGGGACACAACCUAUAGCGUUAGAGUAGGAUGUUGGUAUGAUGGCUUUAAAUCCAUACAUGUUUUUAUACUAUGUCUUGUUUUAAUAUUCUUUCUAAUGGCUUGUGUUCUCAAAUUGAAAAAUUGAAAGUAUUAAAAGCAUGUUCUAUUAGGGUAACGAGGUCUUGAUUUCCAGGUUGCACUUGUGGGGAAAAUUUGGUGAAGGAUCAUGUCUCGUCUAGUAUUAGAAUUCUUUCCUCUCUAUUUCAUACUGUAUUUUGGGGAACAAUUUACUUUUUCCUAGAGUCAGGUUCUAUUUGGAGCAAACUUUGAGUCGUGCUUGUGGACUUAAUUCAUCCCUCGUUGGUGGCGUCUUGGACUGGUCGAAAACUUCAUACUAUUCUUCUAGUGUAUAUAAAAAAUCUAUUUGAUAAAUCUUUUAUACUUAUAAAACAUUAAACAUGAUGGAUCAUGAUUAUUUGUUGAAUGACUUUUCAUUUCCUGUCUCGUCAAUAAAAUUACAUCGUGUUAAUUAAAAAUUAUUUAUGUAGGUUAUAAAUGUUAUAUUUAUAUAUUUUUUUAAUUGACAUAUCUUGAAUUUAUUGGUUAGGACAGAAAAUGAGACAUCAUUUAAUAAUAAAAUAUCUCAAUCCAAAACAUAACAUGAUACAAGUGUAUAUGUAGUUAAUUUUAUGAUUAUGUUAUGUCUGAUAUGCAUCAAACAUGCAUACAUGAUAUAAUAUCUAUUGAACCCGGUGUGUGCUAAGGGCACAAGUUUCUAUAUAUAAUUUUAAAGUUAAUAAUAAAAUAAAAGGGGUGAAGUUAGAACCAUAAAUAUAGUAUGUGUCAUACAUAAUAUAAGUGGAAGAAAUAAAAAGUAUUCGGUGGUACAAUGAGAUAACGGUAAAUUUUACCUUGCAUGGCUCAAAUAGGAUUGUUUAAUGGAUGACAUAUAUAUUGUGGUAUAAGCAAAAUUAUUUCAAAAGCCAUCAAUUAAAGUAGAAAUAGUGAAUAAGUAUCAAUAUGAAACGACAAAAAUAAAAGUAAGCAUGAAACAUACAAAUAGAAUAUUCAAUUGUAGAAUAGAAUUGAACUAGAAGCACCUCACCCCUCUCUAUAUAAACCCUUCUCUACUUGAAUCAUUUCAAGCCACAUCAAAAACCAACCACAUCCUUAAGAAAGUGUGUUGUUGAGUAUUGUGGUCUGAGUGAGGGACUAUGGCACCAGCAAAAGGAUCAUCCCUCACCCCAAUCCAGGUGGAGAACCUUCAAUUUCCUGCGUCUGUCACCUCUCCAGCCACCGCCAAGUCUUAUUUCCUCGGUGGUGCAGGUAAUUCUAAUUAAUUAGUUCUAAUAAAUUCCUUGCUUAUAAUUGUCUAUUAUCAUAAAUACUUAAUUAUUUAUUCAAAGUGACAUAAUAUGUACAUGUUGAUUAAUUGUUGGUUUUUGAAUUAAUGUGUAGGGGAGAGAGGGUUGACGAUUGAGGGGAAGUUCAUAAAAUUCACUGGCAUAGGAGUGUAUUUGGAAGAUACAGCAGUGGAUUCACUCGCCACCAAGUGGAAGGGUAAGAGCUCACAAGAGUUGCAGGACUCCCUUGACUUCUUCAGAGACAUCAUUUCAAGUAUGAAUUCUUCACUCCCUCUCUCUACUUUUGUUGUUUAGCUCUUUUGAUGGUUUUUUUUUUAAAAUAAACUAAAGAAUUAUAUUCAAACUAGCAUAAUAGAUGCUAAACCCGAAUAUAAGAAAAAGAAAAUACAAACUGAAAGGAAGCAACCAGUUAUAGAAAGAAUUAAUUUUAUCAUAUUUUUUACCGUGUAUCCGAACAUAUACACGUAAAUUAACUUACAUAAUGAAUAUGAGUAGCUUUGACUUGUCGUCAACUAGAAGAGCACGAGUCCUAGUUGGUGUAAAAGUCCUAGCUACUUGGUCUCAACAUACAUGCAUGCACUUGCUUUUCCAAAAGUAUGAUUAUCACCAAAAGUUUCAACUAAUUCAUUCUUUGUAGUAAUAAAGUAGAAUUAAAUUUCAUGUUUGAAGGUUUUAAAAUAUGAAUAAUUGUUUAGAAACUAAUUGUUUAAUUUAAUUUGCAGGUCCCUCUGAGAAGUUAAUUCGAGGGUCCAAGCUGAGGCCAUUGAGUGGCGUGGAGUAUUCAAGAAAGGUGAUGGAGAAUUGUGUGGCACACAUGAAGUCUGCUGGAACUUAUGGUGAAGCAGAGGCCACAGCCAUUGAAAAAUUUGCAGAAGCCUUCAGGAAGGUGGAUUUUCCACCAGGUUCCUCUGUUUUCUACCGACAAUCAACAGAUGGAAAAUUAGGGGUUAGUAUAUACCGCGAGUCUUGUUUCUUAUUGAAUUUUAACUAGUAUUUUAACCCGUGCUAUGCAGAGAGAAAACAUUUUAUUAAAGUUUAGAUUGUUAUGAUUAACUAAUAUAAUGUUUCUUCUUUGUGUUGUUGUUUUUGAAAACCACACAGCUUAGUUUCUCUUUGGAUGACACGAUACCAGAAGAAGAGGCUGUAGUUAUAGAGAACAAGGCACUCUCAGAGGCAGUGUUAGAGACCAUGAUUGGCGAGCAUGCUGUUUCCCCUGAUUUGAAGCGUUGUUUGGCUGAAAGGUUGCCUAUUGUGAUGAACCAGGGUCUUCUCCUCACUGGAAACUGACAAGAUUGAAAAGUUUUGGCUGCUGCAAAAGAUAAAGAACUUAAGCUUUUUGAAAUAUCGAAGCUUAAUUUGUUUGUGUAUCUUUUACCUUCCUAUCAAUAAAGUGAUCAAAGUGUGCUAUAUUUUCUACUCUUCUGUGUUUCUAUUGUUUUAUCACUGAAAUGACAUGAAAACAUUGGGUUCAAAAAGAGGCUAAUGGCAAAAUAAUGACAAAAAGAGGCUAAUUAAAAGAUGGUAAAUAACACUACCUGUUAAACUUGGACGGCUUAUGGAUUCGAUCAUGAUGCUAGAAUAAUUGAUUGAACCAAAUCGAUAAUUUUUUAGUGUGAUAAGUCUCACAUUGAUUAAUAAUAAAUUAAUUAAGGAUAGUACAAAGUGUGAAAAUUCAUACGCUUACUGCCUUAAGAUUUUGAUUAAAAUAGGGUGUGGAAUCAUUAUUUUCAUCAAGACAAUAAAUAACACAUAAUAAAUAUUAAAUUUUGACCGUUUGUCAACUCCGUGUAACAUAAUUAAAACUAGACACAAACUCUCUGUCAUAAGUAAAAUCCUCCUUAAUUAGUGCGAGUCUAUUAUAGAUAAUAUAGCUUAAUAAGUACACAAUCCGUCAAGUUCUUAAGCCUAAUUAGCUUAGAGAAUUUGUAAGUAAAAUCUUCCUUUAGGCUAGACUAUCAUAAAUAAUAGCUCAAUAAGUACACACCACUUCAAGUCGUAAGCGGUAGCUUAGUUUGUACGUAAGGUUCUUCUUUCCUUUAGACUUUUGUAGACGAUAUGUAUUCGAUAAGUAUUAGAACUGUCCACCGGUCAGAUUUGAGUUAAGGUAGUCAAUUUUAGAACACUAUACUCACAGCCGACCAAUUAAUUGAUGCAAGUUAUUUGUAUUGAAUUUGCACGUACGGAUCACAAUUUUAGUGGGUGGAUCGGAUUAGUAGUGAUUUUUAGUAGUUCGGUGGGUAUAUCAUUUAUUGAUCAACUAUGAAAAAUGAGACCAAUAAAGAGGAUAUGAAAAUUAUUACCUAUUCAAUUUGUAGGGCCCUUUGAAAAAAUAAUGAUGGAGAUAGAUGAUCCAAGAUACGGUUAUUGACCGGCAUGGGUACUGAAGAAAUCAAGGACAUGCGGGGACUGUGUUGUGUGGCACUGCAGACACAUGCAUGAAGUCCAGUCCAGCCUUCUAGAAACUGAAUUUAAUCUCCACAUGAUCGAUGCUCUGCUCUCUUCAGAUGCCGUGAUCAAAUAUUAAUACUCCAUUAUUAGUUAGUACUUCAUUCGCUUUUAAUAAAAAAAAUUAGAAAAAUACAUAUAUAUAUAUAAUAUAUCUGGGAAUUUUUUUUAGCAUACACCGAAAAAAUAGGAAGUGGAUAUUCAUGUAUGCUGCCAUGGAUACUCAUUCAAUGAGUCAGCAAAUUAGGCAUUUAAUAUGAAUAAUUAAGAUCCGGCCAUUGACUGGUUUGGUGUGGGGACUGAUUGAUCAAGAAUUUGGGACCUACUGAAGCCGCCAGCGGCCAGUGAUGGAAGAUAUAUUUUAAUUUGCUGAAUUUUCUACCACGUGCUUGCUUCUGUUUUCUUUUCUAUGCCCAAAUGCAAUGCAAUCACCCCACCUCACCUUUGGAAUUUCUAUAUGUCAAUAAAUGUCAUAUGACUAAUAGUACAUAUGUCAUCAUCAGAAGCAGUGUUGGACAACAUGCAUUGCCAAGCAGUCUGACUGUUUCCCCUAAUUUGAAAAGUUGUUUGGCUAUGCAAGUUCUUCUCAUCAAUGGAAACUCAGAAUCACAACAUAUGGGUUAAAUUGAAAGUUACUACUACUACACAACAUAAAGAACUUUUACACUCUGUUUGGUUGAGAAGAGAGAGAUAGAGAAGAGAGAAGUUGAGUAGAGAGAAAUAGGUGAGAAAUAGAGUGGAUUUAUUGAUUGUUUGAUAUGGUAGAGAUGAAAGAGAGAUAUGAGAAAAAGAAUGAGGUGGAUAAUAUAAAUUAAAAAGCUAAAAAAAUUAAUUUUUAGAAAAAGACUAUGUUGUCCAACAAAAGUAAAAAAAUUACAACUUCCAAUGGGCCUUGGAGAGAGAGUAGACAAGGACAAAAUAGGAAACAAAAAAGUAAUCAUCAUCCACAUGCUAUCUCUUCUCAAAUUGGAGAGAGGAAAAAAAGGCGUGGGGCCCGCGCAAAAAACUCUCUUUUCACAGUUGUCGGACAGAACCAAACGAGGAUGGAGAUAAAAUCUCUUACCAAUCUCUCUCUCUUGUAUCUCUCUCUCACCAAAUUCACCUCUACCAAACACUGCGUUAAGGUUUCUUUUGUGUGUAUCUUUUUACCUUCCUAUCAAUAAAGUGAU